UUCUAUUUCUUCUUUCUCGAAAGAAACUUAAAUGCGCCAAGAGUCGAACCCUUCUUCCAUUAAGGCUAAUGUGACGAAAACCACGUUUCAGUUUCAUUUUUGUCAGAGUUGCAAGAGCGUCCGCGUGUAAUGCAGACACAACGGAACGGCGGCGGUGUUCUUUUGUUGAACAAUGAACCAGAAGAAAACAUUCCCAACAUGGUACGUCCCACAUUAUUGAAAGGUGAGAUAGGUGCAGUUAUUGGUUACGAAAUCACACACGGAUUGGAUGAUCAAGGACGCCAGGCGAAUAAAGAAGGUCGAAUCAAUUUGUGAUGGAGUAAUCAAACCCCCAGCAGAUACAUCACGGGAGCAGUGUUUCAUUGAACAAUAUGGAAAUUAUACCUUCCCAGAGUUUGCUGGAACUGAAGCUUUUCAAAUAAUUCAACGCAUUUAUCGACUUUCGAAAAUAAUUUUUGAUGCAUUUUUAC